GCCUGUUUGGUGCAGUGGGUAGUACUUGGCCUAAGAACCAGAGGUUGCUGGUUCGAUUCCCCCCACCAGUUG